GCAACUUCCUGUUCACAUGUGGUCAAGGUUGCUCUAAUCUGAGGUCAGCAACAAGCUCACCUCAAAGCUCAGGAGAGACACCUGAACCCAGCGUCAUUCUCUGACUCUCUAGAUUUCAGCAGGAACAAUGGCGAACAUUGGUAAUACCGACAACGUACACUUGGGCUCCAACACAGGGAACGUUGGUUCUAAUAAUGCCUUCAACAUUCAAGGAGGCGUUGGACCCAAUGUUUCUGUGGGCAACACCACUGGCGUCACUGUCGGAGGAAAUAAUUCAGGAAACAUUGGAUCAGGCAACAAAUUUGAUAUAAAAGGAGGAAUGGGAGCUCGUCAAAGGGUUUGCCACACUGCUACUGUUAAACCUUGUCCUAAACCAGGAUCCACUGGUUCAAGGAAUUGCUGCAAAUGAGCAAAGGAAAUCGGCCUCCAACUCUUCCAAAAACAAUGCACCAUUUGUUGAAUGUUGAAAUCAUGAUUUCAAAUCAACAGAAAGAGUCAGUGAUCCGAUGAAUGUAAAGGAAAUAUGAGUGAAAAUAAAGUAGAGUACCUGCUCUAUGAGACCA